rnacentral:rRNA from 1 species
CGUAGGGUGCGAGCGUUAAUCGGAAUUACUGGGCGUAAAGCGUGCGCAGGCGGUUUUGUAAGACAGAUGUGAAAUCCCCGGGCUCAACCUGGGACCUGCAUUUGUGACUGCAAGGCUAGAGUACGGUAGAGGGGGAUGGAAUUCCGCGUGUAGCAGUGAAAUGCGUAGAUAUGCGGACGAACACCGAUGGCGAAGGCAAUCCCCUGGACCUGUACUGACGCUCAUGCACGAAAGCGUGGGGAGCAAACAGGAUUAGAUACCCUGGUAGUCCACGCCCUAAACGAUGUCAACUGGUUGUUGGGUCUUUACUGACUCAGUAACGAAGCUAACGCGUGAAGUUGACCGCCUGGGGAGUACGGCCGCAAGGUUG